rnacentral:rRNA from 1 species
UGGGGAAUUUUGCACAAUGGGGGAAACCCUGAUGCAGCGACGCCGCGUGAUUUAGAAGGCCUUCGGGUUGUAAAAAUCUUUUUUAUGGGAUGAAAAUGACAGUACCAUAAGAAUAAGGUCCGGCUAAAUACGUGCCAGCAGCCGCGGUAAUACGUAUGGACCGAGCGUUGUCCGGAAUCAUUGGGCGUAAAGGGUACGUAGGCGGCCCAGUAAGUUAGAAGUGAAAUAAUAUAGCUCAACUAUAUAAAGCUUUUAAAACUGCUAGGCUUGAGACAUGGAAGGGAAAGUGGAAUUCCUAGUGUAGCGGUGAAAUGUGCAGAUAUUAGGAAGAAUACCGGUGGCGAAGGCGACUUUCUGGUCAUCAUCUGACGCUGAGGUACGAAAGCGUGGGUAGCAAACAGG